GACGACGCGGACGAUCUCAGAAGCAACUUCUCGGCGAUCCAGGCGGUGCUUCUCGACGCCGAGGAGCGGAGCAGCGCUGGGAAGGAGAGCCACGCUCUGCGCCACUGGCUGCGCAAACUGAAGGACGCCGCCUACGACGCCGACGACCUGCUGGACGAGAUCCGGACGGAAGCUGAAAAGGUACGUGGAUUUCUGUCCCGCGCUAAUCCGAUGCAUCUGAAGUUUAAGGUCAAGAUGGCACACAGGAUGAAAGAGCUCAGAGAAAAGAUUGGUAAGAUAGCGAAACAAAGAAAUGAUUUCGGUCUUGCCGAAGCUGGCCCUGUUCGGGAGGCUGAGUUCAAACGCCCUGAGACAUUCUCGGUCGUCAACGAAAAGACGAUAGUAGGGAGAGAUGGUGAUAAAGAGAAAAUUGUGAAGCUUCUCCUAGAGACUAACAGCGAUCACGACGUGUCGGUCAUUCCGAUCGUGGGAUUGGGGGGAUUGGGGAAGACGACGCUUGCUCAGCUGGCCUACAACGACGAGCGGGUUACGGGCCAGCAUUGCUUCGAUCUACGGGCGUGGGUUUGCGUGUCUACCGAUUUCGACAUGAAGACGAUCGCAAAGCCGGUGAUAUCUGCAGCCGGAGAGAAUUGUGCUCUUGAUAACUCAGAUGCCGUCGCCAGUUGCCUUGUCAGGAUCUUUAGCCAGAAGAGAUUUUUGCUGGUGCUGGACGAUGUAUGGAACGAAGAUCAGGAUAAGUGGGAGAAAUUUAAGGUUUUAUUCAAGGACGGCAAGAAGGGAAACAAAAUCUUAGUGACCACGCGGAACGAAAAGGUUGCCGAGAUAAUGAGAACAGUCGAACCGCACCGUGUGAAAGGCUUAUCAGAUGAUGAUUGUUGGACAUUGUUCAAAAGACGGGCAUUCAAGGAAGGGGAAGAGAAAGACUAUCCAAGCUUGGUCGAAAUCGGAAAGCAGACAGUAAAGAAGUGCGGCGGUGUGCCGUUAGCAGCGAACGCUUUAGGAAGUAUGAUGCGCUUUAAGAGCAGGACAGAGGAUGCAUGGUCCGCUAUUAGGGAUGACAAAAUGUGGAGUCUGAAAGAAAAGAAAACUAUUUUACCAUCAUUAAAAUUGAGCUACAUUCAGAUGCCGUCAUCUUUGAAGCAGUGCUUUGCUUAUUGCUCCAUAUUCCCCAAGGACUACGCAAUUAAUAAAGAUGACUUGAUCCGGCAAUGGAUUGCUUUAGGCUUCAUUUCAUCGCAUGAAACAUGGACUUCGAUGGAAGAUAUUGGGAAUGAGUACUUUAACGAUCUAGUAUGGAUGUCUUUCCUUCAAGACGACAUGGAGAACAAAUACAGAUACCGGAUGCAUGAUUUAGUGCACGACCUCGCACAGUCUGUAGCAAGAGAAGAAGUUGCUGCUAUAGUUGGAAAAGAGUCAACAGGGUUCCCGGAAGGUUGUCGCUAUGCAUCAAUACACAGUAGUUUCAUGCCACAGAUUCCAACCACAGUAGCGCAGAGGUUGCGUGCUCUUCAAUUUAGGAAAUCUGGUGCACUUAUUAUGGCUUUUUAUAGCGAGGCAAAAUGCUUACGCCUGUUGGAUUUACAUGGUUCCCAAAUAUCUAUGCUGCCAAGCUCAAUCGGUAAGUUGAAGCUCUUAAGAUACCUCAACCUUUCAUCGACAAAUAUACAAGAACUGCCUGAAUCAAUUACCAGCCUCUGCAACUUGCAAACCUUGAAUCUUUCAGGCUGCCACGAGAUCCGUACAUUACCCAAAUUUCUAGGAAGGCUUACGAAUUUGCGGAUUUUAGAUUUAGGAUAUUGCCAAUUUCAGACAAUACCAGACUCCAUUAGCAACCUUCAGAAUUUGUACGCACUAAAUUUGAGUUGGUGCUACAAGGUGAGAUUACUUGAACCUAUAUGUCACCUCAAAAACCUGCAUUACCUAGACCUAUCAAAUUUAAAAUCUUUGGUGGCAUUACCUGAAUCCAUUGGGAGCCUUCAAAACUUGUGUAUUCUAAAUCUUUCUGGGUGCAGUUCUCUAAUAUCAUUACCGUCAUCGUUAUAUGAUCUUCAGCAUUUAGAGGAACUAGACAUUAGUGGCUGUGGAGAAUUAUGUGAGCUGCCUAAAAUGAUCCAAAAGCUGACCAAACUAAAAGAAUUGUUAAACAACAAUUGCUCGGAAUUGAAGGGCAUGCCCCGAGGGAUCGGCAAGUUACUUAGCUUGCAGGAAUUGUCCGUUUUUGUCGUCGGCAAGCAAGACCGCGUUGAACAUUGUGCUAGCAUCUCUGAGCUAGAGCACCUUAAGCUUGUCGGCGAGCUGGAGAUCAAGGGUCUUGAAAAUGUAACGAGUCCGGUUGAUGCCAAGGCUGCAAAUUUGAUAGAGAAGAACCUGCGGUCUUUGAAGUUGGAAUGGAAUGUUUUAAGUGCGGAAGAAGGCAUGGAUACUGUACUACCGGCGGAAGAGAUAGAUACCGUGCUAGAAAAUCUUCAACCACAUCAAAAGCUAGAGAAUUUGGAAAUAGAAGGCUACGGAGGCAGGAAGUUUCCUAGCUGGAUGAUGAAUAGGAUUGGCUCGUACCUCCCAAAUCUCGUUAAAAUCAGACUUGAGAAUGUGCCCGGAUGCAGCUCACUCCCGCCGCUGGGGCAACUUCCUUUUGUUGAAGACCUAAUUAUACAAAAUAUGCCUGCAAUAACAAAUUUGGGUGUAGAUAAGUUCCCUGCGCUGACGAGACUUUUGUUGGGCUGCAUGCCUGGGCUGCGAGAAUGGGUGACGGUAUUGACGGUGGAUGACGAAGAAGGCAGGCGAGAGCGAGUUCCCAUUUUUUCGUGUCUCACUAACUUGUUGCUUAAAGAAUGUCCUCAAUUGAGACCGGAGCCUUGCCUCCCGCCAUCGGUUGAAUAUCUGACCAUUUCCCGAACAAGCAGCGAGAAUCUAUCUUUAAUUCUCGAACGUGCGACGCCACUUGAUGGCGGUGAUGCCGCUGUUUCACUCCAACCGCGACCAAAUAAGGGGCUGCAGAGUCUAGCAAUAGUAGGAUGUCAGCAGCUAACUUGUUUGCCCGAGAGCUUGCGAAGUCUCACGUCCCUCCACAUCCUGAGAAUACAGAAUUGCGAAGAUCUUGAGAGAAUUGAAGAUUGGCUUGGGGAGCUCUCCGACCUGCAGUCCUUGUUCAUCUAUUGGUGCAGCAGUCUCCGUUACUUGCCUGCCCACAAGAUGACCGCACUAAAGGAGUUAACUAUUUUUUGUUGCCCAUUAUUGUUCAAUGCAGCCGGACAAUUUGUCGACACCACUGUCGAUCACAUCAAAUAUGUCUCUGUUAAUGGAAGGUAAUUAAUUUAGAAAUCUGACUACUCUUUAAUUAAUUAGCUGGCUAGCACCUUAAUAUUCUAUUGUAGCUAGCAUAUAAACCUCUUUCUUUAAAUUUUUUUUUUUUUUUUUAAUCCAGAUGGAAAAACUUCCAUUAGCCCCGCCCCAUGUGGUUCAUUUGCUAUAAAAUAUUUCACUUUGCUAUUUUAUUGUUGUCUUUAUUUUGCCCAACUACUACCAAAGAAUAUUGAAGUGCUUAAAUUUAUGAAUUAUAGGAUACUAAAGUAGUAUAUUUUAUAAAUUUUAGCACUUUAGUACUUCACUUGAUGGCAAGUUCUUACAAUGAUACGAAGAAAAGAAAUAAUCACAAAAUUUUAAAGUAAAACUUACUAUUUAAAGUACAGGACGGUAAAGUAAAAACGCAUUGAAUUAUAGAGGGUCCAAAUUGAAGUUUUUCCUCACCGUAUAAACCUCUGGUAACAUACUUAUAGAUACACAUACUGCAACAUGAGUUACAAACCAUUUGCUAUUCACAAUCUCCAAUCCCCACCUUCUCGAGCAAUUGACCCACCAAUUUAUAUAUCUGUGCGAUUUUAUUUAAUUUAUAUUCUGAGUGAUUAUAAAUUUUAGAUUAGUUUUAUCCUACUCUUAGAUAAGUUUUAUCCUGUUCUUAUUUCUUCCUGUUUAGAUAUGCUAAAUUGCUAUUCAACAAAAUAUUUUGCUUGUACAAGUAGUUCAUAGAUUACAAGAGGCAAUUAUUUUUCCACAAAUUUUGCAGCAAUUGCAACUUUACUAAUUUGCACAAUUGAAACUAUAGCAGCUUGCCGUUGCACAAUUUAAAAGCCACAUUUCAAAAUCAACUACGUAAAAGUGCAGCUAAGAUAUUCUAAAACAUGGUUUGUUGCCAACAAAAAUUUACAAGCGCUCUUGCACGUAUAUAGACUAAUUAAUGAAAUUUUAACCUUCUCUUAAUUUGUAGCGAUUUGAGAUGCCGAAAAGUUUCUACUUGAAAGAUAUAUAGAAUUUACGAAGUAAUUAUUUUUGGUCAUAUUGCUGAUAUAUUAUUCGAGUCCUGGGAUAUUUUCUUUACAAAUUGAAAUAAGGUAUCUUAUAUAUAUCAUGCGUUAUUAGAAAGUCUAACCAUAGAUAGCAUCUCCAACCUGUGUAUAUAGAGGACCACUAGCUAGUUGGUUUUGAGAUUGUAUGAUGUACAUUAGGACUGGCGGGGUCAGGGUCUUUACUCAUAUAUAUUUAUUGUGAAAUGUAUGGUUGUAUAUUUGUAUGGAUAGUGGUCGUUGUUUAGUUUAGUUUUACAUAAAUAGCUCUGAUACUUUGUGUUUAGUUGUGAACUCUAGAAUCAUUAAUGUUGACUCUUUGAUUCCUUUAUUACUGCUUCUGUCUCGUUGGUCGCUUCGUGCGUAUAGGAGAAACUCUAUCGGUUGGGUGGGUCUGUUGACGUCCCCCUAGGCUUCUGCUAUGAAACUGGAGCGUGACAGAUUAAUGUGCUAAAAAAAGUUACCAUUUUGUGUUGUUAUGGUGCAGGAACUACCCAUAUGAGGAAGAAGGGAGCAGCUCGCCAGAGGAGGAGGAGAAGAAGAGUUGGACGAGUUGUUGGAGCAGAUCGAAUUGGCUAGCGAGGAGAGCAUAAGUAUAUGUACUUAUUAUUUGGAGGUAAAAAGAGAUUAUAUAUUAUCUAAACUAUCCCGUGCUUUUAAAGCGGGCAACUGGGCUUUAGGAAUUUCGAUUUUAAUUUGUAAACCUUAUAUAUGCUCAUUUUGAUAAAAGCAAUUUUCUUUGAAAGAUUUGUUAGAUUCUUUUAGAAUUUAGUCUCUUCCGUCAAAAACAAAGUGCAGAAUGUAUCAAAAAAUAAAAGAUAUUUUUUAAUCAAAUUUUAAAAUGUUUUAUUAAAAAACGUUAAGUAUCCUUUCGAAUUCUAUAAGGAACAUAAUAAACACGGCGGAAAGUUAGAGAGUAGAAUUAAAUUUUUUAAAGUUCAGUUAUUUAUCUCAAAGCGUAGUAUAGCUCAUGUAAGAAUCAUUCUCUUUUAGCUUAUUUGGUGAUCACUAUUCCCCUUUGAGAAGAGUUUUUUUUUUUUCCCUUUGUUUUGCCAAAAAUAAACAGAUUUUAUAUAUCUACAUGCAAUGGUGAGAGUUUUUAUUCAUGGACCUGUGGUCUUCUCUUUCAGGUUGGUGCUAUUUAGCGUGCCGGACAAGAAUCGUAGUGUGCUGUUGUCGGUUAUAUAAUAUAUAUUUGUGUUUUCGUGAUAUAAAUUUAGUUUCUGAAUGUACUAUUUUAUAAUUUGGAUUGAUUGUUUGUAAUUUUAACAUGUUAUGGGCUUGAAAAAGAUUGUUUGGUUUGAAUAAACAAAAUGUUGCUACUUUUUUCAUACGGAUAUUAGAGGGUACAGUAAUUUUUAAGUAAAUCUCAUGUAGAGUUUAUUACUAGUAUAUAUGUUUACUUUAAUUAGAACUUGUUUAAAAUCAGAUGAUGUUUUUUUGCAUGCAAGUUGGACCUAGUAUGUAUGUACCGCAGUUGAGAGGGUUAAUUUCCAUAUAUGUUUACUUUAAUUUAUCUUUUCUUUUAUUUGAUUAGAUCCGAAGCCGAUAAAUUUUAAAGUAUUAAAAGUUUUAUUAUUUCGCUUUCUGCAAGAUUUUUAGUUUUUAAAUUCCGCAAAUCUGAAUCGAUUUAUUAAUAAAAUCAAACUGAAUCAAUAGAAGUGGGUUGCUUUUCCAGUUUGGUUUUUACCAAACAUGUGGUUUAAAUGAAAAUAUAGAUAUAUAUUGCUGCAUUAUUUAAUUUGUUUGAGUUAAGUGAUCUCACUGCUCGUGCAAUAUCAAAUUUAGAUUAAUUAUUUAUUUUAAUAAAUUUAUAGCUUCAUAAAUUUAUAAAAUAUAGUAAUUAAACAUGUAAAGAUAAAUAAUACAUUUAAAAUUUAAAGCUAAAGAGAUAUUUGACUCGAAUCAAAUAAAUUAAAGAAUUGUAUAGCAAAAUUAAAACUCUUAAAGAUUAGAUAGUAAAAUUAAAAUAAGUGAUAGUUGUGGUAAGUUAUAUAAAUUUCUUAUUUUUUUAUUCAAGUAAUCGAGAAAAUUAAAGAGGUAGUUAAAUAUGAUUCGAACAAGUUAAAUAUGGAUAAAAAUUUGAAUGCAAUUUAGUAUAUGCAUGUUGCUACCACUUUCGCGGAUCGAAGUUUACGAACAAACCCUCAACCCUAAACCCAGGUGGUAUCUCCUAAUGCUAUUGAAAUUGUUUAGGUGACAAAUGUAAUAAAAAAAGGAGAUUGAUGGAUCAUUCUUGUACAAAUGAAAAGUGAUUAUGAGAUUUAGCUUUUAUUCUUCUUAUAUAUAUAUAUAUUUUGAGAGUAAGGUAGCAUACUAUCCGCUUCAUUCAUUGGAUCUUCUUAUAUAUUAUACUCAUUUAAAAGUAGUGUAAAUUUUAUACUCACAUAUUCAAAGAUUUAUAAAGUACUUUUAAAUUUUUAAUAUUAACAAAAAAAAUGAUAAAAUUAGUGCGAAAAUACUAGCCUUUGGAUGGAGUAGUGCUAUAAAAUAGGAUACAAUAAACUUUUAAUUAGCCCCCUAUAAAUUAGCAUAUUUUCACUUUUUUAAUAUGUGGUUGAAAAAACUUUUGCUUUGCCAUAUGGCCUUUGUUUUUUUUUUUUUUUUUUUUUUUUUUUUUUUUUUUUUUUUAUCACUAAACGGGCCUUCUGUUGAAGUGGUUGAUAAAAUAGUGCAACUUAUAAACCUAAAAUAUUAUAAUUUACAAACCAUAUGAUAUUAUAAUUUACAAUAAUAUUACUUUAUUAAGCUCUUUAAUGGUAAAUUAUUUUUUUGAGAAAAAGAUAGCAUGCUACCCGCUUCAUUCAUUAGGAAUAUGAACUAGGCUACAGGAAUGAGACAGCUACGGUCUCUGGGAGGCGGGAAAAAAAAAAAUCCACAGAUAGGACAAAAAUAAAACUAUGAGAUAGCAAAAUAAAACUUCUAAAUCACAGAAUUGCUAAAAAAAAAAAAAAAAGAUGCAGUAAAUCAUAGGAGGGGUUCAUUAAAGUUCAUACAAAAUAGAAACUCUAGCUUCGUGCAAUAAUUUCAUACUGUGAGGAGUAUACUCAAACUUCUAGAAUGGAUAAAAAUAUUUAGCCUAGAAAUCAUUUUUUUCCACGGAAAGAUAAAUUAUCUCACAAUAAAAUUUAUUAUUCAGCAAAAUAAUGAACAACAAUACCUUCUAAAGCUGAGAGAAAAAGGGGAAAAAAAAGAAAUUCAUGUUAAUGUCCAAACGGGAUAGAGACACCAAAGUACAAAUAGGUCAAAACCAGAGGACCAAAUUGAAGUUUUCACUCUGCUAUAAAAACCCAGCCCGUUUGAAACCCCCCACCCUGCAGCACCUUCUUCUUGUAUUCCCUCCAAAACUUCUCCCUCCCAGAUUCCCUGCUCCAGCGUCCAACCCCCAAAAUCAAUCAAGAAAUCGAAGAUGAGCGAAUCCUCGGCCUCCGCCGGUGAUGGCGACAGCGGAAAUGAGCUGUGGGCGCCGCCUUUUCCCGGGGAUAUCUUGCCCCGCAUCGUCGCGAGGCUGACCUGCGCCGAUCACGCCGCUCUCCGUGCCACCUGCAAAUCAUGGCGCACCAUCUUCUCCGCCAUCCCCCCCUCCCCCCAUCCCGGCCUGCUCCCCUUCCUCCUCCUCCCCCCACAUUUCGCCCUCCCUGAUCCUCUCUGCCUCAGCCAUCGUACCCCGCCCUAUACCCCGCCCCUUCCCGACUACCCUCUCGGCCCCAUCGUCCCCUUCCCCCGCCUCGGCCACAGCCAUUCCGAUUCCCCCUUCUUCCCCCUCGGCAGCCUCCGCAAUCCCACAUUCCGCCCGCUCCCCUCCCUCUCCGACACCACCCGCCACGUCUGCGUCGGCUGCUCCCACGGCUGGCUCAUCCUCCUCGGCCCCACCUCCCACAUCUCCCUCCUCAACCCCCUCACCGCCGCCACCAUCCCCCUCCCUCCCCCGCUCUCCUCCGUCCCCCUAUCCUUUCCCCUCUACGAUGAGAGGACCGUCGACCGCUACCUUCUCUUUCGGGGCGAUCCACCUCGCAGGCUCCGCCACCUCGCCGCCCUCGUCCGCCUCGCCGUCCUCUCUGCCGACCCCACCGACGACCCCUCCUCUUUCAUCCUCGUCCUCGUCCUCGGAAACACCAUCUCAGCCCGCGUCAUCACCUGCGGCCCGAGCGACGGCUACGCUGCGUGGAGGCACCAUACCUACAGGGGGUUCCCCGCCUACGGCGUGACCGACCUCAUCUUCCAUCACGGCCUCUGCUUCGCCGCCGUCAUGUGGCGCACCAUUGGCGACGUGGUGCUCGGCCCNNNNNNNNNNNNNNNNNNNNNNNNNNNNNNNNNNNNNNNNNNNNNNNNNNNNNNNNNNNNNNNNNNNNNNNNNNNNNNNNNNNNNNNNNNNNNNNNNNNNNNNNNNNNNNNNNNNNNNNNNNNNNNNNNNNNNNNNNNNNNNNNNNNNNNNNNNNNNNNNNNNNNNNNNNNNNNNNNNNNNNNNNNNNNNNNNNNNNNNNNNNNNNNNNNNNNNNNNNNNNNNNNNNNNNNNNNNNNNNNNNNNNNNNNNNNNNNNNNNNNNNNNNNNNNNNNNNNNNNNNNNNNNNNNNNNNNNNNNNNNNNNNNNNNNNNNNNNNNNNNNNNNNNNNNNNNNNNNNNNNNNNNNNNNNNNNNNNNNNNNNNNNNNNNNNNNNNNNNNNNNNNNNNNNNNNNNNNNNNNNNNNNNNNNNNNNNNNNNNNNNNNNNNNNNNNNNNNNNNNNNNNNNNNNNNNNNNNNNNNNNNNNNNNNNNNNNNNNNNNNNNNNNNNNNNNNNNNNNNNNNNNNNNNNNNNNNNNNNNNNNNNNNNNNNNNNNNNNNNNNNNNNNNNNNNNNNNNNNNNNNNNNNNNNNNNNNNNNNNNNNNNNNNNNNNNNNNNNNNNNNNNNNNNNNNNNNNNNNNNNNNNNNNNNNNNNNNNNNNNNNNNNNNNNNNNNNNNNNNNNNNNNNNNNNNNNNNNNNNNNNNNNNNNNNNNNNNNNNNNNNNNNNNNNNNNNNNNNNNNNNNNNNNNNNNNNNNNNNNNNNNNNNNNNNNNNNNNNNNNNNNNNNNNNNNNNNNNNNNNNNNNNNNNNNNNNNNNNNNNNNNNNNNNNNNNNNNNNNNNNNNNNNNNNNNNNNNNNNNNNNNNNNNNNNNNNNNNNNNNNNNNNNNNNNNNNNNNNNNNNNNNNNNNNNNNNNNNNNNNNNNNNNNNNNNNNNNNNNNNNNNNNNNNNNNNNNNNNNNNNNNNNNNNNNNNNNNNNNNNNNNNNNNNNNNNNNNNNNNNNNNNNNNNNNNNNNNNNNNNNNNNNNNNNNNNNNNNNNNNNNNNNNNNNNNNNNNNNNNNNNNNNNNNNNNNNNNNNNNNNNNNNNNNNNNNNNNNNNNNNNNNNNNNNNNNNNNNNNNNNNNNNNNNNNNNNNNNNNNNNNNNNNNNNNNNNNNNNNNNNNNNNNNNNNNNNNNNNNNNNNNNNNNNNNNNNNNNNNNNNNNNNNNNNNNNNNNNNNNNNNNNNNNNNNNNNNNNNNNNNNNNNNNNNNNNNNNNNNNNNNNNNNNNNNNNNNNNNNNNNNNNNNNNNNNNNNNNNNNNNNNNNNUUUCCGGUUAAUCCCGCACGAAGGACGGAAAUACGCCUUAGGACAGUGCCUCGCACGCUUCCAGAUCAAAUUAAUUUGAUAUUCUUCUUCCAUAAUUUUUUUUGGAAUUUAGCGAUUGUCGGUAAGUAGGUUUUAUUUAUUUAAUCACAAAAUUAGUUAGAUUUAGUCACAAUCGAAGUUCGUUGCGGUUUGUUCCCCAACAAUCUAAGGCGUACUUCCGAUUUGAUUGUGAUUUAAAUCUAACGAGUGCUAAUCCAAAGAAAAUAAAAUUGUGCAUGUUGUAUAUAAUUUGUUUGAUAACUUGCUUGUAUGAUUGACAUACAAAGUUAAUUUAAGUUGAUAUUAAAAAAAAAAUAAAUAAAAAAAAUAAUAAAAAAUCUUUCUACGGUAAAUUCCAGUGUGCGGUUUCAACUUGCUACAGUAAAAAAUUUUUUAAAAAGGAAGAACUUUGCUACAGUAUUUUAUUUUGCACUGUACGGCCCUUUUAUGCUUUCUGUACGGAUUGUUAAAAAAAAGCUUGCUACAGUAAAUUUUUUAGCUUUCCUGUGUGCGGUUUCAACUUGCUACAGUAAAAUUUUUUAAAAGGAAGAACUUUGCUACAGUAUUUUAUUUUGCACUGUACGGCCUUAUUAAUUAAAAAAAAAAAAAAAAAAAAAAAAAAAAANNNNNNNNNNNNNNNNNNNNNNNNNNNNNNNNNNNNNNNNNNNNNNNNNNNNNNNNNNNNNNNNNNNNNNNNNNNNNNNNNNNNNNNNNNNNNNNNNNNNNNNNNNNNNNNNNNNNNNNNNNNNNNNNNNNNNNNNNNNNNNNNNNNNNNNNNNNNNNNNNNNNNNNNNNNNNNNNNNNNNNNNNNNNNNNNNNNNNNNNNNNNNNNNNNNNNNNNNNNNNNNNNNNNNNNNNNNNNNNNNNNNNNNNNNNNNNNNNNNNNNNNNNNNNNNNNNNNNNNNNNNNNNNNNNNNNNNNNNNNNNNNNNNNNNNNNNNNNNNNNNNNNNNNNNNNNNNNNAAAAAAAAAAAAAAAAAAACAAUUGAGUUACUAUACUUAUGUUUCUUACUCUCCAAUUUGAUUCUGUAAUGAAGGCAUAGUGACUUUUGUGACCAGGAUUGAGGAAAGGGUUUAUUAUAAUGAUCCCUAGUUGAAUCCAAUUUCUAUGGCUAUACUCCUUUAUUAAGGACCUAUUAGGCCCCGCUAGGUAGGAGGAAUUCUACACUAUCAUACUUGCACCACGUCAUUAAUAAUAAGCCAAUUAUAUUCAUUUUUUUCAAACAAAAGUAUAAUAAAAAUAUUUUUUUACAAUCAUAAUGGGACAUAUACUCUUAAAAGGAGACAUUUGAUUGAUUUGUUACGCCAAGUCACUAAUACAUCUGUUACCUUCUAGAAUUUUUUGCUAGGUGGAUGGUGGAGUUUACUGUUUGAUGCUAAUAAUAGUUUAUUGCGGCAACACUAGUGCCCGUCCAAAUUCAAAAAUCCUUAACCCGAAGAUAGAAAUUUCCCCAACAAAGUAAGACCAAAGAAGGAGUAUUAUAUCGGUAAAUAAACCGCAUAAGUUGAUCAAAAUAUGUUAAACACUGCAUUUAACUUCGUUCCCUUAAUCUCCAAAAUUAGAUAUCAGCAUCUAAUUGCGCAUAGAUCUACUUCCGCAGGAACUACAUAACCAGAUGAUCGCAAUUAAAAAGAAACACGCUCGAAUCGAGUAAUCGAACCAAUCACCUGCACGAACAGCUCGAUCCCCCCUCGCCGCCCCCGGCAUCGUCUUCCUCCCGGCGACGGCGGGCGCGGCGGGGUAGCGGGGCAUGAGGAGAAGGACGACGGCGACGAGGAGGAGAGGGACGGAUCUGAAGCUAAUAUAUUUUGAAGUACUAAAAAUUUCAUUAGUUUGCUUUUCGCAAGAUUUUUAGUUUUUAAUUCCCCAAAUCCGAAAUCAAUUUAUUUACUAAAAUCAAACUGAAUCAGUCCAAGUGAGUUGCUUUUCCAGCUUAGUUUUUAUGAAACAUAUGGUUUUACCAUAAAUGGAAAUAUAGAUUUAUCUUGCCGCACAAUUUUGAUUUAAAUAAUUUGAUUAUUUUUUCAAUAUAAAAUUUAGAAUAAUUAUUUACUUAAUAAAUUUAUAUCUGUGUAAUUAAAAAUACAUUUAAAUUUUUAAAGCUAAAGAGUUAUUAGUUUAUUCAAAUCAAAUAAAUUAAAAAAUUAUGUAGCAAAAUUAAAAUUUUUAAAGAUUAGAUAAUCAGAUUAAAAUAAGUGACAGUUGAGGUCAGUUGUAUAAAUUUUUACUUUUUUAUUCGGGAAAUCUGAAAAAUUAGAAGAGGUAUUUAUUUCAAAAUAUGUUAAAUUUUUUGAUUUAUUGUCUAUUCUUUCUGAUUUGAGUUUCAUGAAAUUUUUGCUAACUAUAUACCCAGUGCUAUGUGCAGUAUGCCUUUUUCUCUUUUCUUUUUUUUUUUUUCAUUCUCCUUCAUUUGCAUUGUGACUGUAGAGUAUCCUACAUUGUAAAUUGAAAAUGAUUCCGGUUACUAAAGAGAAUAAAUAAUAUAAUUAUCUUAUACCAGAACAAACUCUUUACAAAAAAAUUUCACUUUGGCCCCUAAAAUUUAUAAUAUUUUAAUUUUUAAUGUAUCAUAGUUAGAAACUUUUGUGUAAUUUUCAAAAACUUGAGGGCGCCCAUGACCAUUGUUGGCCUCUCAAUAACUCUCCCCCGAUUCAGGACUAAGCAAAGCAUCCUAAAAGGACUUUGAUACAAGUAUGCUAGAUUGUUAAACAUAAAAAUAUAAAAAAAUCAUUCCGGCUUAAGUUUUUGAAAAAAAUAAUUAUUUUAUAUUAUUUAACAUUAUAUUAAAUCAAAAGAUUAUGAGUUCGAGUCACACCACGCUCCUAACCUAAUUGAUUUUUCUCUCAAUUAAUUUAAGUCCGCAUCAAACUCAGACAUAAAGAAGAGUAUUCAAUAUAAAAANAAAAUUUGAAAUUUCAAAGUUAAAAAUUUUAAAUUUAAAAAUAUAUAUUUAAAAUUUUAAAAAUUUAAAUUCAAAUAUAGUAAAAGAAUAAUAUGAUUAUUUUUUAUUUAUAAAACACACUAUCUUUCUUAUUCCAUCUUACCUAACCAAACGUUAUUUUUUUUAUUCCCAGGAAUAACCCAAUUUUCAUCCAAACACAAAAUUGAUUUAAUCCCCACUUAUACCUCAAUUUAUACCUAUCCCUGGAAUAGCCACUUUUUUCUUAUCCUCGAACCAAACGAUACCUUAAAAUAUUUUGCACAUCUACUGUUAGAUGGUAAUUUAUUGCUUAAACCUAAUAUACAUGUACUACAUAUUUGUAUACUUAUUUAUUGACUCUGUACUGUCAUGUUAUUUCUACAUUGCCGCUUGUAGAUUUACAAUCGUUUUUUUUUUUUUUUUUUAGAAAUUAGAGUGUUGAAUUGAAAGUAUGAGAUGAAAGAUGGGUUGAUGAAUUUGUGGUGCACAAACAUACCUGUAACAUUUUCCAAGGUAUUGCUUUAGAAGGUAUUACUGUUCAUUAUUUUGAGGAAUAAUGUAUUUUAUUAUGAGAUAAUUUGUCUUUCCAUGAAAAAAUUGAUUUUCUAGGCUAGAAGUUUGCUNUUCGAGUCACACCACGCUCCUAACCUAAUUGAUUUUUCUCUCAAUUAAUUUAAGUCCGCAUCAAACUCAGACAUAAAGAAGAGUAUUCAAUAUAAAAACAUAAAACAUUAUUAUCUAUCAGCUUAAAUAUUUAGAGAAAACAGUUAUUUCGCGUUGUUUAAUAUAGAUUGAAGCUAAAUGCACAGCUAAACAAGUAGGGUGGGCAAGUCCAUUAAAAAUCUCUAAAUGCUGCAUGUAAGUCCUCUAAAACUUGCAAUUUACCAGUAACAAAAAGAGAUGUACCACGUGCAGGAGUAUGUAACACUAGGGCGUUUGGAUUGAUGAAUUUGUAGAUUCAACGUAAGUCAAGUGUAAUGGUGUUUGAGUUUCCCUGAAGUGUGAUUAUUUUUCUGUUGUUUGUUUUGACGUAACUCGUACCACUGAAAGUUAAAUUCAAUCACUUCUNAAGGUAUUACUGUUCAUUAUUUUGAGGAAUAAUGUAUUUUAUUAUGAGAUAAUUUGUCUUUCCAUGAAAAAAUUGAUUUUCUAGGCUAGAAGUUUGCUUAUACUCCUCACAGUACGAAAUAAUUGCACAAAGCUAGAGUUUUUAUUUUGCACAAACUUCAAUUAACCCCUCCUAUGAUUUACUAUAUUUUUUUAAUUUUGCAAUCGUGCGACUUACAAGUUUUAUUUUGCUAUCCCAUAGUUUUAUCUUUGUUCUACCAUAACAAUUUGCCAUUAAAUAGAACAGUAAUGUAAGAUUAUUGUAAAUUAUAAUAAUAAUAUGGUUUAUAAAUUAUAAUAAUUUAGUUACAUGUGGUUUAUAAGUUACACUAUUUUAGCAAUCACUUCAACAGAAGGCCCUUAUAGUGAUAAAAAAAAAUAAAAAUUUAAAAACAAGGGCAAUAUGUCAAAGACAAAGUUUUUUUAACCACAUAUUAGAAAAGUGAAAAUAUGCUAAUUUAUAGGGGGCUAAUUAGAAGUUUAUUAUAUCCUAUUUUAUAGCGCUAUUCCAUCCAAAGGCCUACAUUUUAAAUAUGUGAGUAUAAGAUUUAUACUGUACUUUUAAGUGGGCAUAAUAUAUAUAAAGAAUAAAAGCUAAAUCUCAGAAUCUAUUCGCUGACUUAUCAUUCACAAUAUCAGUCAAAAUCACUUUUCAUUUGUGUAAGGGUGAUUCUUCAAUCUCUUUUUUUAUUACAUUUGUCAUCUAAACAAUGUCAAUAGUAUUAGAAGAUACCACCUGAGUUUAGGGUUGAGGGUUUGUUCGUAAACUUCGAUUGGCUAAAGUGGUAGCAACAUGCAUAUACUAAAUUGCGUUCAAAUUUUAUCCAUAUUUACCUUGUUCGAAUCNACAACAACAACAACACGCACACAAAAUAAAAACCCAUAUUUUUAUAUAUAUUAAUUAGACUUGAAACUAAUAAACUUUAAUUAAUAGAUUAUAAAUUUUAAAAUUUAAUUAAACUGAUGGAUAAGAAAUGGCGAAAUACUAAAACAGAAUGCUUUUUAGUGACGGAUGUGUACCACGUAGGUUUGUCCACACGUGAUCCCAAAAUAAGUAGGAAUUAUAGGAAAAAGUAAAAUAAGGUAGGUAAAUUAAGCAUACAUGUUUUUGGGUCGGGCAAACUUCGGACGUCGUGGACGAAGAGUGAGAGGUUUACGCUACUUGUCGUACUAAGUAGAGUUUCAUAAGAGGAUAGGCUUCUUCGCUGAUGUUACGAGAAUAGACUUUGAGAAAACCGGAAGAAUUUACAUACUCCAGUUAAAGAGCGUCGAGUUCGUAAAGUCUAGUAAAAACGUUGAAGGUGAUUUACGUUUCACUCCUCCUAGAGUAGAACACUUAAUCUAGAUCGUAGUUCCUAACUCAAGGGCAUGAAACAGAAAGCGAGGUUUACGCGUUUAAAAAAUUACAGUUGAAAAUGACAUCAUGCUUCACAAACAAUUAAACGAUCAAUUUAUACUAAGCUUGUUCCAUUUAUACCUAUUUUAAACUUGCGUUAAAUCAUAUACGUACAACGAUGGUGAAAUCGGUUAGCUUCAAAUGCUUGUUUGGGAGUUGGGAUUUGAGUCCACCAUAGAAGAUUAUGAUAACUGUAACAAAUCUACUGUUUACAUUAUUUUUUUCUCUAACUUCUUAGUGGGAACAACAACAACAACAACAUCAUGAUCUCUGCAGAGAGGGGUCUUUCUUUCUCAUGAAGAACAGGGCAUCUUCCGCACCAAGAUCCGAAUUUGGUUGAUUAAGAGAGGAAAUUUUGGGUCUCAAUAGAUAAAACAAAAACUUACUGCAUACAAUUGUGGAGCAAAGGAUUUUUUAAAAUAAAAAAAAAGGAGACAAAGCCUUAAUUAGCAAGAGAUGUUUAUGUAUGAAUUAACGAGUGCAUUUACGUAUGGUAACUUGGUAACUGUUAUACUUUCCUACCUGUAUUGUUUGGAUUCAUUAGUGAUAUUUGCAAUUUGUUAUGGAUUGAUGCAUUUAGCAGUGCAAUGUGUAUAUAUGCUUCAAAAGCGAGGUGUUUCAUCAAAAAAUUAAUCGAAUGGUUUAAGCUAUAGGUUUUAUGCCAAAAUAUUCAAAUAAAUGGUUCAAGUUAGGGGUUUUUUAAAAAAAAACAUUUGAAGUAUUGGAUGGAUCCUUACUUCAAUCUGAGCAGUUUUGGAGUUAACAGCUUGUUUUGGAUACUCUCUAAUACUGCUUUUCGAAAUAGAGUUGUUAUAGGUGCUACUGGUGUCGACCGAUAGUAGCUAGGUUAAAAAUUGAAACUGUUUCAAUCUUAAAACUUGUAAAUAAUAGUGUUUAAGAUUGUUUUUGGUUUCAUGUCAGCAUCUAUUUUGACAAAGCUGACUCUGUUUCCGGCUGAAUUUGUUUUGAAAUUGCUUCAGUUCGCCAUUUCAAUAUAAGCAACUGCUAAACUUGCAAAGACUCGUAAAGAUGGUAACAACAGCUGAAGUUAUUCUGAAUAAUCGCAUUUUUACAGAAGCUGUAUUUAUUUCAAGCAAAACAGUUUUGACAGAGCUAAAUUGGUCUCAAGCAAUCCGUAUCUACAAAUGCGGAAUUAGAAUUGCAGCAAAACCAAAAUGAUAAAUAUUUUUGCUUUUUGACGUAGAAUCAUUGGGCAUACAUUUCACAGUUGGAGAAAAAUUGCAUAAUAGUAAAGUCGCAAAAUCGUAAUGAGAAUUGGUUCACAAAUAAAAGAUAAUUUUAAUUUCUAAAAUUUCUCCUUCAUAAAGUUUUGAGUCAUCAUCCUACUCGCUUUCUUCAUUAAUUACCAUCGCUGCCAUCAUCAACAUGCAUCUUUGAUGCAUCAGGAUUUACCUGAAGUGAGUGAGCAAAAAAAGUCCUCCUUUAAUUAAGGGACCUUGCAAAAAAAAAGAAGAAAAAAACAAGAGGUCACCCUCCUCCUCAAACACCUUCAUCUUCAUUGCGUUUUUAUUCUUUUCCUCCUUUCCAGGCACGAGAGAGGAAAAAAAAAAAAAAAAAAAAAAACAACAACAACAAAGGGAGCAUGCUUUUCUGCCUCUUCAUCUGAAAAUGGACACCGAAAUAAAAAGAUCCAAAUAUUUUUAUAAAUUGUACAAUUAGGUAAAGAUUGAUCAUUGACCCAUGGGGUGUAUUUCACUGGUUAGGUUGAUGUGAUUAGUAAAAUACACUUUAUUUUUAUAAAUUGUACAAUUAGGUAAAGAUUGAUCAUUGACCCAUGGGGUGUAUUUCACCAGUUACAUUGAUGUUAUUAGUAAAAUACACUUUAUUUUUAAAUAGAUGGGGUGUAUAUUCUAUACCCAAUGAAUGUAUAAGUAAGAGUUUUCAAAAAAGAAAAAAAAGAAAAAAAAAAGGCAUUGGCGCGUGCGUUCUCUCGAAGCUCCUCUGGAACCAUCAGCNAAUAAAAAUUAAUAUAUUUUUCACCAAUGGGAGUCUAACGUAAAAAAAAAAAAGAAAAAGAAAAAGAAAAUGAUAGUAUAAAGAGGUGUAAAUUAAGAAAAUAAUUUUUUUAUGGCUAUUAAGAAAAUCAGUGCUAAUUAAAAAAGACAAUUUCGAAUUGUGGUGCAUUGCUGAAGGGGUCUCCAUACUUUUUUUUUUCCUUUUUUUUGGGGCAAUCAAAAUUUAUACAUAUCAAUUGCUCAAAUAUAAUAGUAUCUAAGAAUAAUAUCGUGGGGUGAAAAUCGUUUUGAUAUUACUCAAUCUAAUUGGACUCUGAAGCCAAAGAUUAUCGGAUUUGGAUUGAAAUUUUACUAUCCAUUACGGACUCAAAUUUAGAUUUAGAUCCGAAAUUUGAAAUUCUUUUGGGUUCAAAUUAAGAUUCACUAUUCCUUUUCCAAUUCGGAUUCAAAAUUAUUCGAAACAAAAACUGAUUUUGACUGCUUUUUUAAUUUCUUAAGUAAUGCCAUUUAAGCAUCUUUCAGAAAUCUCAAACAUCUUCAUUGCAUUUUCUUCACUUGGAAGAGAAAAUAAUAAUAAUAAUAAUAAUAAUAAUAAUAAUAAUAGUAAUAAUAAUAAUAAGUCCCUCCUUUUCCACCUUUUCAUUUGAAAAUGGACACUGAAACAACAAGAAAAAAUUUCUUCAAUACCCUUCCAAGUAGUUCUAAUUUUAUGAAUACCCUUCAAAAUUUUAAAAUUUUCAUACUUGCCCUCCAAAAGUAUGGAAAAGUUUCAAAAAUACUCUCACUGUCACUGUCAGUAAUCUGUUAUAUUAACUUCAAAAUACCAAUUUUACCCCCUAUUUUAAUUUAAUCACCACUCUCACAAUUUUUUUUUUGAAUAUAUGGAGACCCCUCAAUUACAACCCAUUAUGAAAUACCCUCCUAAAUUUAACUUUUUAAUUAAAGUCUUCUUAAAUUUUAUUUUCUUAAAUUGAAUGAUUUUUUUAUUAUUAAAUUAGAGAUUUUAUCUAAUCUAUUAAUGAUUCAAACAAAUUUAAUAAUUUUAAUAACUUCGUAGUAUAUAAAAUUAAAUAAGUUUCUGUUCAAAAAAGAAAAUUAAUAAAAACUUCAAAGAUUUACUUAAAUGACCUAUAGUUGAUAGUUUUAGUAUAAAUAUCAAAAAAUAAGUGAAAGAAGUUUGAUUUUUAAACAAAAGGGAAAACUUCAAAAAACCCCUCUGUGGUUUCGUAGUUUCUCACUUUGCUCCCCUGUAGUUUAAAAUGUAUCAAAUUGCCCCCAUAUGAUUUCGUUUUUAUCUUUUUGGUAGCUUUUUCGUUAAUAUUUCAUUAAAUUAUAUACAAAAAAAACUUCAGAUACCCAUCUAGAUUUAUCAAAUAUUCACUUUAGUACUCUUUAAAUUAACUUUAUCACUGAUUUAAGAAAAAAUAAUAAUAAAAUUGAUAAAAAAAAGAGAAAAAAGAAAUCACGGGGGGCAAAUUGAUACAUUUUAAACCACAGGGGGGCAAAGUGAGAAACUACGUAAAUACAGGGGGGUUUUUGAAGUUUUCUCUAAACAAAAAGUGAACAAAUUAAGGGCAAAAUGGUAAUUUCAUAUUUUGAAAUAAAAUAAAAAAAUGCUAUGUUGACGGAAGUUAGCAAAAAAUAACGGUGAGGCUAUUUAUGAAAGCAAUAUUAUAUUUAGAGGGGCAUUUGUGACAUUUUAAAAAUUCAAUGGGUGUUUAUGAUAUUUCAUAACUUUGUGAGGGUACAAAUGAAAUUAACCCAAACAACAAGAUCCAAAGAGCAAAUUUGAAACUGAUAAUAUUUUUAUAAUCUGUACAAUUGGAUAAAGAUUGAUCAUUGACCCAUGGGGUGUAUUUCACUAGUUACAUUGAUGUGAUUAAUUAGUAAAAUACACUUUAUUUAUUUUUAAAUAGGUGGGGUGUGUAUUCGAUACCCAAUGAAUGUAUGAGUAAGAGUUUUCUAAAAAAAAAAAAAAGAGGAGGAACAAAAAAAGCAUUGACGCGUGCGUUCCGGCCCCCACCAUAAUGAUUGGAGACACAGCACAAUAAUUGGAGCAAACAUCUUCCACUGGCGGAGAGCAUCCCCUUAUUAUCCUCUGCUUCUCUGUAGGAGGACGUUCGUAUUGAGAAGGAUUAGGCAGCAGCACGCGCGAUGGCGGAGGGGAUCGCAUUCGACUUGGUCAAAGGAGUGCUGGGCAAGCUGGGCUCCGCUCUCUGGGACGAAAUCGGGCUGCUGCGGAGCUUCAAGGACGACGCGGACGACCUCAGAAGCAACUUCUCGGCGAUACAGGCGGUGCUUCUCGACGCCGAGGAGCGAAGCAGCGCUGGGAAGGAGACCCACGCGCUGCGCGACUGGCUGCGCAAACUGAAGGACGCCGCCUACGACCUGCUGGACGAGAUCCGGACGCAACAGCAGUAUCCCGAGGUGCAGAAUCAUCAACACCAGCCAGCUGGAAAGGUACGUGGAUUUCUGUCCCGCGCUAAUCCGAUGCAUCUGAAGUUUAAGGUCAAGAUGGCGCACAGGAUGAAAGCGCUCCGAGAAAAGAUCGGUAAGAUCGCGAAACAGAGGCAUGAUUUCGGUCUUGCCGAAGCUGGCCCUGGUCGGCAGGCUGAGUUCAAACGCCCUGACACAUAUUCAGUCGUCGACGAAAAGACAAUAGUUGGGAGAGAUGGUGAUAAAGAGGAAAUUGUGAAGCUCCUGUUAGAGACGGGCGGCGAUCACGACGUGUCGGUCAUUCCGAUAGUGGGAUUGGGAGGAUUGGGGAAGACGACGCUCGCUCAGAUGGCCUUCAACGACGGGCGGGUUACGGAUCAGCAGUGCUUUGAUCUAUGGGUGUGGGUCUGCGUGUCUACUGAUUUCGACAUGAAGACGAUUGCAAAGCCGGUGAUAUCUGCAGCCGGAGAGAAUUGUGCUCUUGAUAACUCGGAUGCCGUCGCCAGUUGUCUUGUUAGGAUCUUUAGCCAGAAGAGAUUUUUGCUGGUGCUGGACGAUGUAUGGAACGAAGAUCAGGAAAAGUGGGAGAAUUUGAAGGUCUUAUUUAAGGACAGCAAGAAGGGAAGUAAAAUUUUAGUCACCACGCGGAGCAAGAAGGUUGCCACGAUAAUGAAAACAGUCGAACCACACCAUGUGAAAGUCUUAUCAGAUGAUGAUUGUUGGACAUUGUUCAAAAGACGGGCAUUCGAGAAAGGGGAAGAGAACGACUAUCCGAGUUUGGUGGAAAUUGGAAAGCAGAUAGUAGAGAAGUGUGGUGGCUUGCCUUUAGCAGCAAAUGCCUUAGGAAGUAUGAUGCGCUUUAAGAGGACAGAGAAUGAAUGGUCCGCUACUAGAGAUAGCGAAAUAUGGAGGUUGGAAGAAGGAACUAUUUUACCAUCAUUAAAAUUGAGCUACAUUCAGAUGCCGUCGGCUUUGAAGCAGUGCUUUGCUUACUGCUCCAUUUUCCCCAAAGACUAUGAGAUUGACAAGGAUGACUUGAUCCGGCAGUGGAUUGCUUUAGGCUUCAUUUCAUCGCAUGAAACAUGGACUUCGAUGGAAGAUAUCGGGAAUGAGUACUUUAACGAUCUAUUAUGGAUGUCUUUCCUUCAGGACGUGGAGGAGAAUUAUAGAGGGGUCACCUGCUGCCGGAUGCAUGAUUUAGUGCACGACCUCGCACAAUCUGUGGCAAAAGAAGAAGUUGCUGUUAUAAGUGCAGAAGAGUCAGCAAGGAUCCCAGAAGGUUGCCGCUAUGCAUCAAUACACAGUCGUUUCACGCCACAGGUUUCAAUUACCGUAAUGCAAAGGUUGCGAGCUCUUCAAUUUAGGGAAUCUGGUUCACCUAUUAUGACUCUUUAUAGCGAGGCAAAAUGGUUACGCCUGUUGGAUUUACAUGAUUCCAAAAUUUCUAUGUUGNAAAGCAUUGGCGCGUGCGUUCCGGCCCCCACCAUAAUUAUUGGAGACACAGCACAAUAAUUGGAGCAAUCAUCUUCCACUGGUGGAGGAGCAUCCCCUUAUCAUCCUCUGCUUCUCUGUAGUAGGACGUUCGUAUUGAGAAGGAUUAGGCAGCAGCACGCGCGCGCGAUGGCGGAGGGGAUCGCAUUCGAAUUGGUGACGGGAGUGCUGGGCAAGCUGGGCUCCGCUCUCGGGGACGAAAUCGGGCUGCUGCGGAGCUUCAAGGACGACGCGGACGACCUCCGAAGCAACUUCUCUGCGAUCCAGGCGGUGCUUCUCGACGCCGAGGAGCGAAGCAGCGCUGGGAAGGAGAGCCACGCUCUGCGCGACUGGCUGCGCAAACUGAAGGACGCCGCCUACGACGCCGACGACCUGCUGGACGAGAUCCGGACGCAACAGCAGUACCCCGAGGUGCAGAAUCAUCAACACCAGCCAGCUGGAAAGGUACGUGGAUUUCUGUCCCGCGCUAAUCCGAUGCAUCUGAAGUUUAAGGUCAAGAUGGCGCACAGGAUGAAAGCGCUCAGAGAAAAGAUCGGUAAGAUCGCGAAACAGAGGCAUGAUUUCGGUCUUGCCGAAGCUGGCCCUCUUGGACAGGCUGAGUUCAAGCGCCCUGAGACAUUCUCGGUCGUCGACGAAAAGACAAUAGUGGGGAGAGAUGGUGAUAAAGAGGAAAUUGUGAACCUUCUCCUAGAGACUAACAGCGAUCACGACGUGUCGGUCAUUCCGAUCGUGGGAUUGGGGGGAUUGGGGAAGACGACGCUUGCUCAGCUGGCCUACAACGACGAGCGGGUUACGGACGAGCUGGUUACGGGCCAGAAGCGCUUUGAUCUACGGGUGUGGGUCUGCGUGUCUACCGAUUUCCACAUGAAGACGAUUGCAAAGCCGGUGAUAUCUGCAGCUGGAGAAAAUUGUGCUCUUGAUAACUCGGAUGCCGUUGCCACUUGCCUUGUCAGGAUCUUUAGCCAGAAGAGAUUUUUGCUGGUGCUGGAUGAUGUAUGGAACGAAGAUCAGAAUAAGUGGAAGGAAUUGAAUGUUGUAUUUAAGAACAGCAAGAAGGGAAGUAAAGUCUUAGUGACCACGCGGAGCGAAAAGGUUGCCGAGAUAAUGAAAACAGUCAAACCGCACCGUGUGAAAGGCUUAUCAGAUGAUGAUUGUUGGACAUUGUUCAAAAGACGGGUAUUCGAUGAUGGGGAAGAGAACUACUAUCCGAGUUUGGUCGCAAUCGGAAAGCAGAUAGUUAAGAAGUGCGGCGGUGUGCCGUUAGCAGCAAAUGCUUUAGGAAGUAUGAUGCGCUUUAAGAGCAGGACAGAGGAUGCAUGGUCCGCUAUUAGAGAUAGCGAAAUUUGGAGUCUGAAAGAAGAGAAAACUAUUUUACCAUCGUUAAAGUUGAGCUACAUUCAGAUGCCGUCGGCUUUGAAGCAGUGCUUUUGUGACGCCCCAACUUCCCAGGAGGUCACCCAUCCUAGGACUACUCCCGUCCUAGCACGCUUAACUCUCUUAACCUCUUAGGCCUUGCUACCACCCAAAAUGCUUAAGCUGGGUUAAGAGUUUAGCCCUAUUAUAUCUUGUAUAUAGGACUACCCGGGGUCUCACAGCUUUGCUUACUGCUCCAUAUUCCCCAAAGACUAUGAGAUUGACAAGGAUGACUUGAUCCGGCAAUGGAUUGCUUUAGGCUUCAUUUCAUCGCAUGAAACAUGGACUUCGACGGAAGAUAUUGGGAAUGAGUACUUUAACAAUCUAUUAUGGAUGUCUUUCCUUCAAGACGUGAAGGAAAAUUAUAGAAAGGUUACCACCUGUCGGAUGCAUGAUUUAGUGCACGACCUCGCACAAUCUGUAGCAAGAGAAGAAGUUGCUGCUAUAGUUGGAAAAGAGUCAACAGGGUUCCCGGAAGGUUGUCGCUAUGCAUCAAUACACAGUAGUUUCAUGCCACAGAUUCCAACCACAGUAGUGCGGAGGUUGCGAGCUCUUCAAUUUAGGAAAUCUGGUUCACUUAUUAUGGAUUUUUAUAGCGAUGCAAAAUGCUUAUGCCUGUUGGAUUUACAUGGUUCCAAAAUUUCUAUGCUGCCAAGCUCAAUCGGUAAGUUGAAGCUCAUANUAAGAUACCUCAACCUUUCGAAGAACAGUAUACAAGAAUUGCCUGAAUCAACUACCAGCCUCUGCAACUUGCAAACCUUGAAUCUUUCACGCUGCCGCGAGAUCCGUACAUUACCCAAAUUUCUAGGAAGGCUUACGAAUUUGCGGAUUUUAGAUUUAGGAGGUUGCCUAUCUCUGACAAUACUGGACUCCAUUAGCAACCUUCAGAAUUUGUACACACUAGAUUUGAGUUGGUGCCAAAAGGUGAUAUCACUUGAACCUAUAUGUCACCUCAAAAACCUGCAUGACUUAAACCUAUCAUGUCUAAAAUCUUUGGUGGCAUUACCUGAAUCCAUUGGGAGCCUUCAAAACUUGCGUAUUCUGAACCUUUCUUGGUGCUAUUCCCUACUAUCAUUACCCUCAUCGUUAUGUCACCUCAAAAACCUGCAUAGGUGCUCUUCUCUAGAAUCGUUACCCUCAUCGUUAUGUCACCUCAAAAACCUGCAUCACUUAAACCUAUCGUGUCUAAAUUCUUUGGUGGCAUUACCUGAAUCCAUUGGGAGCCUUCAAAACUUGCAUAUUCUGAACGUUUCUGAAUGCUCGUCUCUAGAAUCAUUACCCUCAUCGUCAAGUGAUCUUCAGCAUUUAGAGAAACUCGACAUCCGUGAUUGUGGAAAAUUAUGUGAGCUGCCUAAAAUGAUCCAAAAGCUGACCAAACUUAGAGUCUUGUUAAACAACAAUUGCUCGGAAUUGAAGGGCAUGCCCCGAGGGAUCGGCAAGUUAGUUAGCUUGCAGGAAUUGUCCGUUUUUGUCGUCGGCAAGCAAGACCGCGUCGAACAUUGUGCCAGCAUCUCUGAGCUAGAGCACUUGAAGCUUGUCGGCCAGCUGCGGAUCAAGGGUCUCGAGAAUGUGACGAGUCCGGUUGAUGCCAAGGCUGCAAAUUUGAUAGAGAAGAACCUGCGGUCUUUGAAGUUGGAAUGGAACGUUUUAAGCGCAGAAGAAGCCGUGUUAGAAAAUCUUCAACCACAUCAAAAGCUAGAGAAUUUGGAAAUAGGAGGCUAUGGAGGCGGGAAGUUUCCUAGCUGGAUGAUGAACAGGAUUGGCUCGUGCCUCCCAAAUCUCGUUAAAAUCAAACUAGCGAAUAUGCCCGGAUGCAGCUCACUUCCGCAGCUGGGGCAACUUCCUUUUCUUGAAGAACUGACUAUACGAAACAUGCCCGCGGUAACAAAUUUGGGCGUAGAUAAGUUCCCUGCGCUGACGACACUUGAGUUGUCCUCCAUGCCGGAGCUGCGAGAAUGGGUGACUGUGUUGACGGUGGAUGACGAAGAAGGCAGGCGAGAGCGAGUUCCCAUUUUUCCGCGUCUCACUCAAUUGUGGCUUAAAGGAUGUCCUCAAUUGAGGCCGGAGCCUUGCGUCCCGCCAUCGGUUAAGUAUCUGACCAUUUCUAGAGCAAGCAAGGAGAAUCUAUCGUUGAUACUCGAACGCGCGAUGCCAUUUGGAGGCGGUGAUGCCGCCGUUUCACCCCAACCGCCACCAGAUAAGGGGCUGCGGGAUCUAGUAAUAAACGAAUGUCAGCAGCUUACCUGUUUGCCCGAGAGCUUGCGGGGUCUCACGUCCCUCCAGCGGCUGAGAAUAUCUGAUUGUGAAGAUCUUGAGAGAAUUGAAGAUUGGCUCGGGGAGCUCUCCGACCUGCAGUCCUUGGAGAUCUGGGAGUGCAGCAGUCUCCGUUACUUGCCUGCGCACAAGAUGACCACACUUCAGGAGUUAGAUAUUAACAAGUGCCCCCUGUUGUUCGAUGCGGACGGACGAUUUGUCGACACCAGUGUCGAUCACAUCAAAAAUGUCGAAGUUGAUGGGAGGUAAUUAAUUUGGAACUCUGACUACUCUUUAAUUAAUGAGCUAGCACCUUAAUAUUCUAUUGUAGCUAGCAUGAACAUCUCGGUUUUUUUUUUNCUCUGCAACUUGCAAGCCUUGAAUCUUUCAGGCUGCCGUGAGAUCCGUACAUUACCCAAAUUUCUAGGAAGGCUUACGAAUUUGCGGAUUUUAGAUUUAAGGGAUUGCCCAUCUCUGACAAUACCUGACUCCAUUAGCAACCUGCAGAAUUUGUAUGCACUAAAUUUGAGUUUGUGCAAAAACGUGAUAUCACUUGAACCUAUAUGUCACCUCAAAAACCUGCAUUACCUAGACCUAUCAUAUCUAGAUUCUUUGGUGGCAUUACCUGAAUCCAUUGGAAGCCUUCAAAAUUUGCGUGGUCUCAACCUUUCUAGCUGCUCUUCUCUAGAAUGGUUACCCUCAUCAUUAUGUCACCUCAAAAACCUGCAUCUCUUAAACCUAUCAAAUCUAGAAUCUUUGGUGGCAUUACCUGAAUGCAUUGGGAGCCUUCAAAACUUGCGUAUUUUGAGCCUUUUUGGCUGCUCUUCUCUAAAAUCAUUACCCUCAUCAUUAUGUGAUCUCAAAAACCUGCAUGACUUAAACCUAUCACGUCUAAAAUCUUUGGUGGCAUUACCUGAAUCCAUUGGGAGCCUUCAAAACUUGCGUAUUCUGAAUGUUUCUAAAUGCUAUUCUCUACUAUCGUUACCCUCAUCGUCAAGUGAUCUUCAGCAUUUAGAGAAACUCGACAUCAGUGGUUGUAAAAAAUUAUGUGAGCUGCCUAAAAUGAUCCGAAAGCUGACCAAACUUAGGGUCUUGUUAAACAACAAGUGCUCAGAAUUGAAGGGCAUGCCCCGAGGGAUCAGCAAGUUAGUUAGCUUGCAGGAAUUGUCCGUUUUUGUCGUCGGCAAGCAAGACCGCGUGGAACAUUGUGCCAGCAUCUCUGAGCUCGAGCACCUUAAGCUUGUCGGCGAGCUGGAGAUCAAGGGUCUUGAAAAUGUGACGAGUCCGGUUCAUGCCAAGGCUGCAAAUUUGAUAGAGAAGAACCUGCGGAAUUUGAAGUUGGAAUGGAAAGUUUUAAGUGCGGAAGAAGGCACGGAUAGUACUGUACUACCGGUGGAAGAGAUCGAAACCGUGCUUGAAAAUCUUCAACCACAUCAAAAGCUAGAGAAUUUGAAAAUAGAAGGCUAUGGAGGCGGGAAGUUUCCUAGCUGGAUGAUGAAUAGGAUUGGCUCGUGCCUCCCUAAUCUACUUCAAAUCGAACUAGCGGAUAUGCCCGGAUGCAGCUCACUUCCGCAGCUGGGGCAACUUCCUUUUCUUAAAGAACUAACUAUACGAAAUAUGCCCGCAGUAACAAAUUUGGGGGUAGAUAAGUUCCCUGCGCUGACGAGACUUGACUUGUCCUCCAUGCCGGUGCUGCGAGAAUGGGUGACUGUGUUGACGGUGGACGACGAAGAAGGCAGGCGAGAGCGAGUUCCCAUUUUUCCGCGUCUCACUGGAUUGUGGCUUAAAGAAUGUCCUCAGUUGAGGCCGGAGCCUUGCCUGCCGCCAUCGGUUUUGAUUAUGAUCAUUUCUAGAACAAGCAGCGAGAAUCUAUCGUUAAUUCUCGAACGCGCGACGCCAUUUGGUGAUGGUAAUGCCGCCGUUUCACACCAACCGCCACCAGAUAAGGGGCUGCAGGAUCUAGUAAUAAACGAAUGUCAGCAGCUAACUUGUUUGCCCGAGAGCUUGCGGGGUCUCACGUCCCUCCAGCGCCUGGACAUAUGGGGUUGCCAUGAUCUUGGGAGAAUUGAAGAUUGGCUCGGGGAGCUCUCCGACCUGCAGUCCUUGACCAUCUCGAAGUGCCGCAGUCUCCGUUACUUGCCUGCCCGCAAGAUGGCCGCACUUCAGAUGUUAUCUAUCGGGAAUUGCCCGCUGUUGUUCGAUGCAGACGGACAAUUUGUCGACACCAGUGUCGAUCACAUCAAAGAAGUCUAUGUUAAUGGAAGGUAAUUAAUUUGGAACUCUGACUACUCUUUAAUUAAUUAGCUGGCUAGCACCUAAAUAUUAAUUCUAUCGUAGCUAGCAUAAACAUCUCUUUUUCUUUUUCUUUUUUUUUUCUAAAUAUUCGGAUGGAAAACUUUCAAUUAGCCCCACCGCACCUGAUUCAGAGCAUUUUCGUUUGCUAUGAAAUAUUUCAUUUUGCUAUUUUAUAGUUUUGUUUUUAUUUUCUUGCAAAAAUCUUCUACAAGAAAGAAAAAAGAAACAAAUUAAAGUGCUAAAAUGUAUGAAUUAUAAGGCUGUCAAUUAAUUUAUUUUACAAACCACAUAGGGACUGUGUGAAAUAUAUAUAUAUAAUCAUUUUAGUAUUUUAUGGUUUAUAAAUUUAUCACUUUAAUACUCCACUUUAAUUACUUGAGAUUGGAUAUAAUCAUAGGAUUUUCAAGUAAAACUAUUUAAAACGUAGUGUGGCAAAAAGAAAACACAUUAAACUACAUUUCAAUAUCAAAAGUGCAAUUAAGAUAUUCGAAAACAUGGUUGGUUUUCUGGAAAAAUUUUCAAGUGGUCUCUUGCAUGUGCAUAGACUAAUUAAUGAAAUUUUAAUCUUUUCUUAAUUUGUAGCGAUUUGAGAUGCCAGAAAAUUUCUACUUGAACGAUAUAUAGUAUUUACAAAGUAAUUAUUUUCAGUGAUAUUGUUGAUAUACUAUUUGAGUCCUUGGAUAUUUUUUUUUACAAAUUGAAAUUAGGUAUCUUAUAUAUCAUACAUUAUUAAAAUGUCUAAGCAAAAUGUCCAGCACAUGUUGCACGAGCGUCGGAUAAAAAAUAACCAUUUUGUGUUGUUGUGUUGUAGUUCUUACCGGUACAAGAAACAAGCGAGCAGCUCACCACAGGAGGAAGAGAGCUCAGCGAAGGAGGAGAAGAAGAUUGGUUAGCGAGNGAAAAAUUUCUACUUGAACGAUAUAUAGUAUUUACAAAGUAACUAUUUUUGGUCAUAUUGUUGAUAUAUUAUUCAAGUCCUGGAAUAUUUUUCUUUAUAAAUUGAAAUCAGGUAUGUUAUAUAUCAUACGUUAUUAGAAAGUCUAAGCAAAAUGUGCAGCACAUAUAUACUGCACGAGCGUCGAAUAAAAAAGUAACUAUUUUGUGUUGUUGUGGUGUAGAAAAUACCCGUACAAGGAACAAGCGAGCAGCUCGCCACAUGUGGAAGAGAGCUCACCGAAGGAGGAGGAGGAGAAGAAGAUUGGUUAGCGAGGAGAGCAUAAGUAUAUGUACCUAUUAUUUGGAGGUAAAAAGAUAUUAGAUAUUAUCUAAACUAUACUGCACUUUGAAAGCGGCCAAUUGGGCUUUACGAAAUUCGAUUUUAAUUCGAUUUUGACAUAAGAAAUUUUCUUUGAAAGAUUUGUUAGAUCCUUUUAGAAUUUAGUCUCUUCCGUUAAACAAAGUGCAGAAUGUUUCAUAAAAUAACAAAAUAUUUUUUUUAUCAAAUUUUAAAAUAUUUUAUCAAAAAAUGUUAAGUAACCUUUCAAAUUCUCUAUGGAACAUAAUAAACACGGCGGAAAGUUAGAGAGUAGAAUUAAAUUUUUUAAAGUUCNAUAUAUAUAUAUAUAUAUAUAUAUAUAUAUAAUUGAGCCAGAAUACUGUUAAAAGAACCAACCCCUUGGUACUUUUGAGUUUCUAGCCCUUGGAUCUACUCCUUGAUUAUUAAUAAUCUUUGAAUCAAACACUAUUCCACCUACCACCACUUACCACCAUCAUCUCAACCCUACAUCUUUCCAUUCAAUAGCUAAAAACUCAAAAGCACCAAUCCCUUGGUGCUUUUGAGAGUAUUCUAGUUCAACUCUUCCUCUCUCUCUCUCUCUCUCUCUCUCUAUAUAUAUAUAUAUAUUAGUAUUUUAUGGUUUAUAAAUUUUAGCACUUUAGUACUCUACUCUACUUUAGAUAGGUUCUUAUGAUCGUAUAUAAUUAAAAAAAAAAUCCAUAGGAUUUUCAAGUAAAACUAUUUAAAACGUAUGGCGGCAAAAUGAAAACGGGUUAAACCACAUUUCAAUAUCAAAAGUGCAGUUAAGAUAUUCGAAAACAUGGUUGGUUUUCUGGAAAAAAAUUCAAGUGGUCUCUUGCAUGUACAUAGAGUAAUUAAUGAAAUUUUAACCUUUUCUUAAUUUGUAGCGAUUUGAGAUGCUGGAAAAUUUCUACUUGAACGAUAUAUAGUAUUUACAAAGUAAUUAUUUUCGGUCAUAUUGUUAAUACACUAUUCAAGUUCUGGGAUAUUUUUCUUUACAAAUUGAAAUCAGCUAUGUUAUAUAUCAUACGUUAUUAGAAAGUCUAACCAAAAUGUACAAUACAUAUAUGCUGCACGAGCGUCGGAUAAAAAAGUAAUCAUUUUGUGUUGUUGUGCUGUAGAAAAUACCCGUACAAGGAACAAGCGAGCAGCUCACCACAUGUGGAAAAGAGCUCACCGAAGGAGGAGAAGGAGAAGAAGAUUGGUUAGCGAGGAGAGCAUAAGUAUAUAUACCUAUUAUUUGGAGGUAAAAGGAUAUUAGAUAUUAUAUCUAUACUAUACUGCACUUUGAAAGUGGCCAAUUGGGCUUUAUGAAUUUUGAUAUUAAUUCGAUUUUAAUUCAAUUUUGAUAUAAGAAAUUUUCUUUGAAAGAUUUGUUAGAUCUUUUUAGAAUUUAGUCUCUUCCGUUAAACAAAGUGCAGAAUGUUUCAUAAAAUAAAAAAUAAUUUUUUAAUCAAAUUUUAAAAUAUUUUAUCAAAAAAUGUUAAGUAUCUCAAAGGACCAUAAUAAGCACUGCGGAAAGUUAGAGAGUAGAAUUAAAUUUUUUAAAGUUCAGUUAUUUAUCUCAAAGCGUAGUAUAGCUCACGUAAGAAUCAUUCUCUUUUAGCUUAUUUGGUGAUCACUAUUCCCCUUUGAGAAGAGUUUUCUUUUUCCCUUUGUUUUGCCAAAAAUAAACAAAUUUUAUAUAUCUACAUGCAAUGGUGACAGUUUUUAUUCAUAAACUUGUGGCCUUCUCUUUCAAGUUGGUGCUAUUUAGCUUUCCGGACAAGAAUUGUAGUGUGCUGUUGUCGGGUUAAUAUAUAUUUGUGUUUUCGUGAUAUAAAUUUAGUUUCGGAAUGUACUAUUUUAUAAUUUGGUUUGAUUGUUGGUAAUUUUAUGGUGUUCUCUAUAUAUGUUAUGGGCUUGAAAAAGAUUGUUUGGUUUGAAUAAACAAAAUGUUGCUACUUUUUUAAUACGGAUAUUAGAGGGUACAUUAAUUUUUAAGUAAAUCUCACGUAGAGUUUAUUACUAGCUAGUAUAUAUGCAUUGUGUUACGAACUUGUUUAAAAUCAGAUGCUGUUUUUGGCAUGCAAGUUGAAGCUAGUAUAUAUGUAUGUACCGCAGUUGAGAGGGUUAAUUUCCAUCUAUGUUUACUUUAAUUUAUCUUUUCUUUUAUUUGAUUAGAUCCGAAUUAAGCCGAUAAAUUUUAAAGUAUUAAAAGUUUUAUUAUUUUGCUUUCUGCAAGAUUUUUAGUUUUUAAAUUCNUGAAGUACUAAAAUUUUAUUAAUUUUCUUUUCGCAAGAUUUUUAGUUUUUAAUUCCCCAAAUUCGAAAUCAAUUUAUUACUAAAAUCAAACUUGAGGUGCUUUUCCCAUUUGGUUUUCACGAAACGUGUGGUUUAAAUGGGAAUAUAGAUUUAUGUUGCCGCACAAUUUAAUUUAUUUGAUUUAAGCGAUUUGAUUACUUUUUUAAUAUAAAAUUUAGAAUAAUUAUUUAUUUCAAUAAAUUUAUAUUUGCAUAAUUAAAAAUAUAUUUAAAAUUUUAAAGUCAAAGAGUCAUUAGUUGAUUUAAAUCAAAUAAAUUAAAAGAUUAUAUAGCAAAAUUAAAAUUUUUAAAGAUUAGAUAAUCAGAUUAAAAGAACUGACAGUCGGGGCGAGUUAUAUAAAUUUUUGACUUUUUUAUCCAAGAAAUCUGGAAAAUUAAAAGAGGUAUUUACUUCAAAAUAUGUUAAACUAUUAUUAUUAUUAUUAUUAUUAUUAUUUUACCAUAAAGCAUUUUCGAGAACCUAACAUUUGGGACCAACCGUAAAAAUAAUAAGAAAAAUUGUGCGAAAUUAACUGAAAAUUUAUUUUAUUGAAAAUCUCACCGUGAAUUUUUUUUUUUAUUGUCUAUUCUUUCUGAUUUGAGUUUGCUUUUCUUCUUCUUUUUUUUUGGGAAAAUGCAGUAUGCAUAAUUGAUCCUUGAUUUAUACUAUAGUUUCAGCUUAACAACUGGAAAAAAAAAUGCUAUAAAAAUUAAAUAUGUGGAUAAAAUAUUAAGGUAUCGCAUAAAUAUAACCGCAUAGUUCUUCAAUAACAAUUAAGCACAAUUUUAUAGCUUCGGACGAGAAAAGAUUAGAAGCAGUUUUAAAAUUUUUGGACCUUUCAAAAUAUGAAAAUGUUGCUUCUUACCACUACGUUCCUAAAGAAAGUUGGGUUAGUUGCAAUUUUUUAUACUUACGAAUUAAAUGAAUGAAAUACAAUAAAAAGAAAAUAUUAAGGAUGAAUAAAACCUUGGUGCAUCACCUGUUUGGAUGCACCAGGUGUAGGCAGUGAUUUUUCAUAAAACGAAAUCGUAAAGCGUUAAAGAAUAGGUAGUCAAAUUAAUUUAAAUUUUUAAAUAUUAGAUAAUUAAUUUCAAAUUAUAAAAGUUCAGAUUAAUUAAGUACAUUUUUAUACCCAAAAAUUAAACACAGCAACAACAACAACAACAUGACCACUGCAAAGAGGGGUCUUUCUUUCUCAUAAAGAACAGGGCAUCCCGUGCACCAAGAUACGAAUUUGGUUGAUCAAGAGAGAAAAUUUUGGCUCUCCAAUAGAUAGAACAAAAACUUGCUGCAUACAAUUGUGGAGCAAAGCCUUUUUUAAAAUAAAAAAGGUGAUAAAACCUUAAUUAGCAAGAGAUGUUUUAUGUACGAAAUUAUUUUUAUUUUUAUUUUUUAAGAGAUAGGUAGCACGCCACCUACUUCGUUUAUUUCAUUUAGAAAUAAACUUAGCUGAAAAUAUGAAUCAACUAGGAUUCGAACUUGGGUCUCGGGUACUAACCACUAAGCCCUUUGCCACUUGCUUUAGGAACGGUCGGUUAUGUACGAUAAAUUAACAAGUGCAUUUAUGUAUGGUAACUUGGUAACGGUUAUACCUUCCUACUUGUACUGUUUGGAUUCAUUAGUGAUAUUUGCAGUUUGUUAUGAAUGCAUUAAGCAGUGCAAUGUGUACGUAUGCUUCAAAAGCUAGGUGUUUCGCCAAAUAAUUAAUCGAAUGGUUUAAGCUAGGUGUGUUGCCCAAAGAUUCAAAUAAAUGGUUCAAGUUAGGGGUUUUUUAAAAAAAUUCUUGUUAAGUAUUGGAUGGAUCUUUGCUUCAAUCUGAGCAGUUUUGGAGUUAACAGCUUGUUUUGGAUACUCUCUAAUACUAUUUUUUGAAAUAGAGUUGUUACUGUUAAGUGUUAAAUAUAAAAAUGUUUAAAUACCGUUUUCUAACAAUUUAAGCUUUUAGAGUACAACGGUUAUUUCACAUGGUAUCAGAGCAGGAGGUUCUAAGUUCGAGUCACGCUAGGCUCCUAGCAUAUUAAUUUUCUUCCAUUUAAUUCAAGCCCACGUCAUGGGCCGAUUAAAAAGUUUUGAGCCCAGACGUGAGGGGGAGUGUUAAGUGUUAAAUAUAAAAAUGUUUAAACACCGUUCUCUAAGUACAACGGUUGUUUCACAGUUACUACAGUUACUCCUCUUGUUGAUGUACUGCAGUACUGGGUGAUGCUACUGGUGUCUUUGAAUGAUGAGUUUAGACCAAUAGCAGCUAAGUUAAAAAUUGAAACAGUUUCAAUCUUAAAACUUCUAAAUAAUAAUAGUAUUUAAGAUUGCUUUUAGUUUUAGCUCAGCAUCUAAAUUGUUCUCCAGCAAUCCAUACAUAUUUGCCUUUUGAUGUAGAAUCAUUGGGCAUACACUUCACAGUUUAAGAAAAGCUGCAUAAUAGAAAAGCUGCAAAAUCAUAAAUAGAAUGAGUGCAUAAAUAGAAGAGAAUUAAUUAAUAACAUUGAUGUCUAAAACAAAUUUCUCCUUCAUGAAGUUUUGAGUCAUCAUCCUACUUGCUUCAUUUCUCUCGCUGCCAUCAACAUGCAUCUUGGAUGCAUUAGGAUUUACUUAAAGUGACAACAAAAGUGAACAAAAACCAAAGCAAAAUAAAAAAGCAAAAUAAAGGAGUAGCAACAAAUAAAAACAAUAAACUCUGAAAGGCAUUAACAUAGAUUGAAGCCAAAUGCACAGCUAAACAAGUAGCGUGGGUCAGUCCAUAAAAAUCUCUAGAUGCUGCAUGUAGUCCUCUAAAUCUUGCAAUUUAUCUGAAAUAAAAAGAGAUGCAUCAUGUGCAGAAGUAUGUAACACUAAGGAUUGCAGAUGUAGGCGAUCUGAUCAUGAGCAACUACAAACUAUGGCUGGCACACAUUUAUUUAAUUAUAUUUUACUUGUUCACUAAGCGGAGAGCCAGCUCAGCCACCAUGAUCAUUGCUCUCUUUUACGAAGUGGGGCGUGUGAAAUUGCCCCACUCUACUUUUAUUUUUUUCACUUAUAUUUAUUUGUCUCAAUUAGAUCUCUAUAUUAAUAACAAUGUUAUUUUCUUUUUUGUUUUAAACCUAUGUUAAGACCAUCAAGAGUUGAGUAGCAGUUGAGAUCUAUGGCAAUGGUGACAACAAUGAAAAACAAAUGAGCUGUUGUCUCUAAUAAUAUAAUGAGAAUGCCAAUUUAAUUUUAAUUUGAAUCCGUAAAUUUAAAUUUUAAUUUGAAUCCAUAAAUUUAAUUUAAGUUUGAAAUAAAAUUUCAAUAAAAUNCAGUAAGUCUAUUGAUCUGUCGUAGAGAAAGAGUUGUUAUUUAAUUUAUGAAGAAAUAUAACUUCAAAAUAAGAAAUACGACUGGUGCAUUCAAAAGUAGAGUGUAAAUCUAAGAUUUAUCCUCAAUAUGAAAUUUGUUUAAAAUCUCAUCUUAGCAUCCUUUCAGUGUAAGGACUAGUUUACUGGAAUAGGCUUUGGCAUCCUACCUAAUUCCAUAUAACGUUUUGAUUCUGGUGGUCGCAGUAGGGUAAAUUUGAAUUUAUCAAAUCAACUUAUCAUGACACAUAACUUCUCUUUGCUUUUCCUUUUUUGUUUUUCCUUUUCUUUUUGGAUAAAAGCCUUCCCAUGCUUGUAUGCAAGAGAUUAUAACGGGAUUGCUUAUGAAUAUAAGAGAAGAUUGAUGUUUAUUUUUUGAAAUUUGUUGUUUGUCUGACGAUCCUGAUUAAAUAAUAUGAAGUACAUAUCUCUGUUUCUUACAUUUAUUUGAUCUUUAUAUACGUUUCAUUUUGGUCCUCAAACUUUCAAGUUCCGAGACUAUGAACUCUUAAAAUAUUUUGCACAUCUACCGUUAGAUGGUAAUUUAUUGCCUAAACCUAAUAUACGUGUACUACAUAUUUGUAUACUUAUUUAUCGACUCUGUACUGUUAUGUUAUUUCUACAUUGCCGCUUGUAGAUUUACAAUUUUUUUUUUUUAAUUUAGAAAUUAGAGUAUUGAAUUGAAAGUAUGAGAUGAGAGAUGGGUUGAUGAAUUUGUGGUGCACAAACAUGCCGGUAACAUUUUCCAAGGUAUCGCUGUUCAUUAUUUUGAGGAAUAAUAUAUUUUAUUAUGAGAUAAUUUAUCUUUCCGUGAAAAAAUUGAAUUUUAGGCUAAAUAUUUUAUCCAUUCUAGGAGUUUUCUUAUACUCCUCACAGUAUGAAAUAAUUGCACAAAGCUAGAGUUUCUAUUUUGCACAAACUUAAAUUAACCCCUCCUAUGAUUUACUGUAUUUUUUUAAUUCUGCAAUCGUGCGACUUAGAAGUUUUAUUUUGCUAUCCCAUAGUUUUGUCUUUGUUCUACCGUAACAAUUUGUCAUUAAAUAGAAUAGUAAUGUAAGAUUAUUGUAAAUUAUAAUAAUAAUAUGGUUUGUAAAUUAUAAUAAUUUAGUUACAUGUGGUUUAUAAGUUACACUAUUUUCGCAACUAAUUCAACUGAAGGGCCUUAUAGUGAUAAAAAAAAAAUUAAAAAUUUAAAAACAAGGGCAAUAUGUCAAAGCCAAAGUUUUUUUAACCACAUAUUGAAAAAGUGAAAAUAUGCUAAUUUAUAGGGGGCUAAUUAGAAGUUUAUUACAUCCUCUUUUAUAGCGCUAUUCCAUCCAAAGGCCUACAUUUUCACACUAAUUUUAUCAAUUUUUUCUUUGUUCAUAUUAAAAACUUAAAAGUAUUGUGUAAUUUUUUAAAUAUGUGAGUAUAAGAUUUACACUGCACUUUUGAGUGGGUAUAAUAUAUAAAAAGAAUAAAAGCUAAAUCUUAAAAUUCAUCCGUUGACUUAUCAUCCACAUUAUCAGUCAAAAUUUUUAUUUGGACAAGAGUGAUUUUUCAAUCUCUUUUUUUAUUACAUUUGUCACCUAAACAAUUUCAAUAGCAUUUGGAGGUACCAUCUGGAUUUAGGGUUGAGGGUUUGUUCGUAAACUUCGAUUGGCGAAAGUGGUAGCAACGUGCAUGUACUAAAUUGCAUAAGAGUAAAGUCGCAAAAACGUAAAGAGAAUCGGUUCACAAAUAGAAGACGAUUUUAAUUAAUAGCAUUGAUGUCUAAAAAAAAAUUUCUCCUUCAUAAAGUUUUGAGUCAUCAUCCUACUCGCUUUCUUCAUUAAUUACCAUCGCCGCCAUCAACAUGCAUCUUUGAUGCAUCAGGAUUUACCUGAAGUGAAAAGUCCUCCUUUAAGGGACCUUGCAAAAAAAAAAAAAAAAAAAAAAGAAGGUCCCCCUCCUCCUUAAACAUCUUCGUUGCGGUUUUAUUCGUUUCCUCCUUUCCAAGCACGAGAGAGGGGGAAAAAAAAAACCAACAAAGGGAGCUUGCUUCUCUGCCUCUUUAUCCGAAAAUAUUUUUAUAAAUUGUACAAUUGGGUAAAGAUUGAUCAUUGACCCAUGGGGUGUAUUUCACUAGUUACAUUGAUGUUAUUAGUAAAAUACACUUUAUUUUUAAAUAGAUGGGGUGUAUAUUCUAUACCCAAUGAAUGUAUAAGUAAGAGUUUUAAAAAAAAAACAAAAAAAAAGAGUAAAAAAAAAAAAGCAUUGGCGCGUGCGUUCCGGCCCCCACCAUAAUUAUUGGAGACACAGCACAAUAAUUGGAGCAAUCAUCUUCCACUGGUGGAGGAGCAUCCCCUUAUCAUCCUCUGCUUCUCUGUAGUAGGACGUUCGUAUUGAGAAGGAUUAGGCAGCAGCACGCGCGCGCGAUGGNAAAGCAUUGGCGCGUGCGUUCCGGCCCCCACCAUAAUUAUUGGAGACACAGCACAAUAAUUGGAGCAAUCAUCUUCCACUGGUGGAGGAGCAUCCCCUUAUCAUCCUCUGCUUCUCUGUAGUAGGACGUUCGUAUUGAGAAGGAUUAGGCAGCAGCACGCGCGAGCGAUGGCGGAGGGGAUCGCAUUCGACUUGGUCGAAGGAGUGCUGGGCAAGCUGGGCUCCGCUCUCUGGGACGAAAUCGGGCUGCUGCGGAGCUUCAAGGACGACGCGGACGACCUCAGAAGCAACUUCUCGGCGAUCCAGGCGGUGCUUCUCGACGCCGAGGAGCGAAGCAGCCCUGGGAAGGAGACCCACGCUCUGCGCGACUGGCUGCGCAAACUGAAGGACGCCGCCUACGACGCCGACGGCCUGCUGGACGAGAUCCGGACGCAAGCGGCCCUCCGGCAACAACAGCAUCCGGAGGUGCAGAAUCAAAACCAGCCAGCUGAAAAGGUACGUGAAUUCCUGUCCCACGCUAAUCCGAUGCGUCUGAAGUUUAAGGUCAAGAUGGCACACAGGAUGAAAGAGCUCAGAGAGAAGAUCGGUAAGAUCGCGAAACAGAGGCAUGAUUUCGGUCUUGCCGAAGCUGACCCUCUUCGACAGGCUGAGUUCAAGCGCCCUGAGACAUUCUCGGUUGUCGACGAAAAGACAAUAGUCGGGAGAGAUGGUGAUAAAGAGGAAAUUGUGAAGCUUCUCCUAGAGACUAACAGCGAUCACGACGUGUCGGUCAUUCCGAUCGUGGGAUUGGGGGGUUUGGGGAAGACGACGCUUGCUCAGCUGGCCUACAACGACGAGCGGGUUACGGACGAGUUGGUUAUGGGCCAGCAGCGAUUUGAUCUACGGGUGUGGGUCUGCGUGUCUACCGAUUUCCACAUGAAGAAGAUUGCAAAGCCGGUGAUAUCUGCAGCUGGAGAAAAUUGUGCUCUUGAUAACUCGGAUGCCGUCGCCAGUUGCCUUGUCAGGAUCUUUAGCCAGAAGAGAUUCUUGCUGGUGUUGGAUGAUGUGUGGAACGAAGAUAAAGGGAAGUGGAAGGAAUUGAAGGUUGUAUUUAAGGACGGCAGGCAGGGAAGUAAAAUCUUAGUAACCACACGAAGCGAAAAGGUCGCCGCGAUAAUGAAAACAGUCGAACCACACCGUGUGAAAGGCUUAUCAGAUGAUGAUUGUUGGACAUUGUUCAAAAGGCUGGCAUUCGAUGAGGGGGAAGAGAACGACUAUCCGAGUUUGGUCGCAAUCGGAAAGCAGAUAGUAAAGAAGUGCGGCGGCGUGCCUUUAGCAGCGAAUGCUUUAGGAAGUAUGAUGUAUUCAAAGAACAGGACAGAGGAUGCAUGGUCCGCUACUAGGGAUAACGAAAUUUGGAGUCUGCAAGAAGAGAAAACUAUUUUACCAUCAUUAAAGUUGAGCUACAUUCAGAUGCCGUCGGCUUUGAAGCAGUGCUUUGCUUACUGCUCCAUAUUCCCAAAAGACUACGAGAUUGACAAGGAUGACUUGAUCCGGCAAUGGAUUGCUUUAGGCUUCAUUUCAUCGCAUGAAACAUGGACUUCGAUGGAAGAUAUUGGGAAUGAGUACUUUAACAAUCUAUUAUGGAUGUCUUUCCUUCAGGACAAAGAAUAUAGAAAGGUUACCACCUGCCGGAUGCAUGAUUUAGUGCACGACCUCGCACAAUCUGUAGCAAGAGAAGAAGUUGCUGUUAUAGUUGGAGAAGAGUCAACAAGGAUCCCGGAAAGUUGCCGCUAUGUCUUGAUAUACAGUCGUUUCACGCCACAGGUUUCAAUUACCAUAAUGCGGAGGUUGCGAGCUCUUCAAUUUAGGGAAUCUGGCUCACUUAUUAUGGCUUUUUAUAGCGAGGCAAAAUGCUUACGCCUGUUGGAUUUACAUGGUUCCGAAAUUUCUAUGCUGCCAAGCUCAAUCGGUAAGUUGAAGCUCUUAAGAUACCUCAACCUUUCGUCAACCAAUGUACAAGAACUGCCUGAAUCAAUUACCAGCCUCUGCAACUUGCAAUCCUUGAAUCUUUCAGGCUGCCGUNAUUUACAUGGUUCCGAAAUUUCUAUGCUGCCAAGCUCAAUCGGUAAGUUGAAGCUCUUAAGAUACCUCAACCUUUCGUCAACCAAUGUACAAGAACUGCCUGAAUCAAUUACCAGCCUCUGCAACUUGCAAUCCUUGAAUCUUUCAGGCUGCCGUGAGAUCCGUACAUUACCCAAAUUUCUAGGAAGGCUUACGAAUUUGCGGAUUUUAGAUUUAAGCGAGUGCAGUUCUCUGACAAUACUUGACUCCAUUAGCAACCUUCAGAAUUUGUACACACUAGAUUUGAGUUGGUGCCAAAAGGUGAUAUCACUUGAACCUAUAUGUCACCUCAAAAACCUGCAUUACCUAGACCUAUCAAAUCUAGAAUCUUUGGUGGCAUUACCUGAAUCCAUUGGGAGCCUUCAAAAUUUGCGUAGUCUCAACCUUUCUAGCUGCUCUUCUCUAGAAUGGUUACCCUCAUCGUCAAGUGAUCUUCAGCAUUUAGAGAAACUCGACAUUAGUGGUUGUGGAAAAUUAUGUGAGCUGCCUAAAAUGAUCCAAAAGCUGACCAAACUUAGAGUCUUGUUAAACAACAAUUGCUCGGAAUUGAAGGGCAUGCCCCGAGGGAUCGGCAAGUUAGUUAGCUUGCAGGAAUUGUCCGUUUUUGUCGUCGGCAAGCAAGACCGCGUCGAACAUUGUGCCAGUAUCUGUGAGCUCGAGCACCUUAAGCUUGUUGGCGAGCUGGAGAUCAAGGGUCUUGAAAAUGUGACGAGUCCGGUUGAUGCCAAGGCUGCAAAUUUGAUAGAGAAGAAGCUGCGGUCUUUGAAGUUGGAAUGGAACGUUUUAAGUGCGGAAGAAGGCAUUGAUAGUACUGUACUACCGGCGGAAGAGAUCGAAACCGUGCUAGAAAAUCUUCAACCACAUCAAAAGCUAGAGAAUUUGGAAAUAGGAGGCUAUGGAGGCGGGAAGUUUUCUAGCUGGAUGAUGAACAGGAUUGGCUCGUGCCUGCCAAAUCUCGUUGGAAUCGAACUAGCGGAUAUGCCCGGAUGCAGCUCACUCCCGCAGCUGGGGCAACUUCCUUUUCUUGAACAACUGACUAUACAAAACAUGCCCGCGGUAACAAAUUUCAGCGUACAUAAGUUCCCUGCGCUGAAGACACUUGAGUUGUCCUCCAUGCCGGUGCUGCGAGAAUGGGUGACUGUGUUGACGAUGGAUGAUGAAGAAGGCAGGCGAGAGCGAGUUCCCAUUUUUCCGUGUCUCACUUAUUUGGGUCUAUAUGAAUGUCCUCAGUUGAGGCCGGAGCCUUGCCUCCCGCCAUCGGUUGAGCAUAUGGGCAUCUACAGAACAAGCAAGGAGAAUCUAUCGUUGAUACUCGAACGCGCGAUGCCAUUUGGAGGUGGUGAUGCCGCCGUUUCACCCCAACCGCCACCAGAUAAGGGGCUGCCGGGUCUAGGAAUAGUAGGAUGUCGGCAGCUAACUUGUUUGCCCGAGAGCUUGCGAAGUCUCACGUCUCUCCAGUCGCUGGGAAUAUAUGAUUGUGAAGAUCUCGAGAGAAUUGAAGAUUGGCUCGGGGAGCUCACCGAGCUGCGGUCCUUGUACAUCGAUGGGUGCAGCAGUCUCCAUUACUUGCCUGCGCACAAGAUGACCGCACUUCAGGAGUUAUGUAUUGGGAUUUGCCCGCUGUUGUUCGAUGCGGACGGACGAUUUGUCGACACUAGUGUCGAUCACAUAAAAAAUGUCGAAGUUGAUGGGAGGUAAUUACUUUGGAACUCUAACUACUCUUUAAUUAAUGAGCUAGCACCUUAAUAUUCUAUUGUAGCUAGCAUAAACAUCUGUUUUUUUUUUUUUUNAGCAGUUGAGAUCUAUGGCAAUGGUGACAACAAUGAAAAACAAAUGAGCUGUUGUCUCUAAUAAUAUAAUGAGAAUGCCAAUUUAAUUUUAAUUUAAAAUUAUAUAUUUAAUUUUUAAAUUUUAACUUAUAUUUUAAUUAAAAAAAGUUGAAAAAAUAAAUUUAAUCCGAAUAAAUAUAAUUCCGUACGGAUUCAACUUUUAAUCCGGCCUACUAGGCCGGAUUGAAAAAAGAGGUGAUUGGAGGAUUCUCAUUCCACUCGGGAAUCGGAAUCGGAAUGGGACUCCCACGUACCAAACACUCACAAACGGAUUUACUUAUUCCGAUUCCGAUUUCAAGGUAAAAAAGAAGCAAACCAAACACGCCCAAUAUAUUUAUCUUAUAUCAGCACAAACUUUUUACAAAAAAAUUUCAUUUGGUCGCUAAAAUUUAUAAUAUUUUAAUUUUUACUGUGUCAUAGUUAGAAACUUUUGUGUAAUUUUCAAAAAGUUGAGAGGGUCCAUGACCAUUGUCGGCCUCUCAAUAGCUCUUCCCCUGUUCUGGAUUCAGCAAAGCAUCCUGAGAGGGGAUUGAUACGAGUUUGCUAGAUUGUUAAAUAUAAAUAUAUAAAAAUAUCAUUCUUUACGAGAUUAAUUACUUUUUGAAAAAAAAAAUGAUUAUUUCGUAUUAUUUAACAUCGUAUCAAAGUAGAAAAUUCUGAGUUCGAGUCACGUCAGACUUCUAGCCUAAUUGAUUUUUUCUCUCAGUUAAUUUAAGUCCACAUCGAGCUCAAACGUGAGAAAAAAUAUUAAAUAUAAAAAUAUUAUUAUCUAUCACUUUAAAUUUUUUGAGAAAACGAUUGUUUCGUAUUGUUUAACAUAGAUUGGAGCCAAAUAUAUAGCUAAACAAGUGGCGUGGGUCAAUCCAUAAAAAUCUCUAUAGAUGAUGCUGUAGGUAAGUUCUCUAAAACUUGCAAUUUAUCUGAAACAAAAAGAGAUGAUGUAUCACGUUCAGAAGUAUGUAACAGUGAGGAUUGCAGCAGGCUGUAGGCGAUUUGGUUAUGAGCAACUACAAUUAAACUAUGGCUGGCAUACAUUUAUUUAAUUACAUUUUACAUGUGCACUUAUAGAUAGCAUGCUGUUGUAACUUCCACAUAUUUAUCUUUUUCCUGGAGUGUAGAAUUAUGCUGAGACUUGUGAUCUUUGCACUAUUUUAUAAAGUGCAGGUUUACGUCUGUUUCCAUUUCAAAAAAAUUAUAUAUUUCUUUUUGGUUAAAUUACAUAAAGUGACCUGCACUAUACUGGCGUAUGAAAUUACCCCCCUCCACCCAUCCCUCUGUCAACUUUUAUUUUCUCAUUUAUAUUUAUUUGUCUUAUUUAGACGGUAGACCCCUGUAUAUGUUAAUAACAAGGUUAUUUUACUGAUCGUUUCUAACGCAAGUAGCAAAAAAUUUAGUGGUUGAUAAUCAAGAUUCUAAAUUUGAAUCCUAGUUGAUUCAUAUCUCUAGCUAAGUUUAUUUCUAAAUGAAAUAAACGAAACAGUAGAAUAGCAGUUGAGAUCUAUGGCAAUGGUGACAGCGACGAAAAACAAAUAAGCUCUUGUCUCUAAUAAUAUAAUGAGAAUGUCAACAGAUACAAAAGAAAUCUAAGUUUUUUUAUUCUAGUUUAUGACCGAUUUUGAAAAAAGAUUCCAAUGGCAUCUCUAGUUUAUAAUUUUAUAUACAUUUGAGGUAAUUAGGUGUACUAAAAAUUUCUAUAUUUUUGGCUGACGGGAUCUAAUUUUUUUUAAAAAAUGAUAGUAUAAAGAGGUGUAAAUUAACUAAGAAAAUAAUUUUUUAUGGCAAUUAAGAAAAUCAAUGCUAAUUAGAAAAAGGCGGUUUUGAACUGUGGUGCAGUGCUGCAUAGAGAUGUCAACGGGUCGGAUUCGAGGCGGAUUUUUAAAAACCCGAACCUGAACCCGACUCCAAAUCCGAGACCCGAAUCCGAACCCGAAUCCAACGGAUUUUAAAAAUUCAUAUCCAAACCUGAACCCGACCAAAAAUCCGAAACCCGAACCCGAAUCCGAACCCGAACCCGAAAAUUUGAACCCAAAAUAAUAAAUUUUUUUUUCAAUAUUUCAAAAUAUAUUAUAUUAAAUCUAAAUUUUUAAAAUACAAAUUCAAAUAUAACAUCAAAUUUAUAUAUAUAUAUUAUAUAUAAUACAAAAUAAAUUCGGGUUCGGGUCGGAUUUGGGUUCGGAUUCGGGUUAGGUACAAUCAAAAUCCAUAUCCGAAUCCAUAUCCGUCGGAUUUCUAUUUUUUAUAUCCAUAUCCAUCGGAUAUAUCCGUUUCAUUCGGAUUCGGAUUCGGAUAAAAUUUCGGAUAUUCAUACCCAUUGACAUCCCUAGUGCUGCAGUGGUCCAACUCUCCAUACUUUUUUUUUUCUCUUUUUUGGGCAAUCAAAAUUUAUACAUAUCAAUUCUUCACAUAUAAUAGUAUCUUAGAAUAUUAUCGUGGGGUGAAAAUCAUUUUACUCAAUCUGAUCCCACUCUGAAGCCGAAGAUUGUCGGAUUUGGAGUGAAAUUUUACUAUCCAUUACGGAUUCAGAUUCAAAUCUGAAAUUUGAAUUUUUUUUUUGAGUUCAAAUUAAAGAUUCACUAUUUCUUUUUAAAUUCGAAUUCUAAAUUAUUGGAAACCAAAACUGAUUUUGACCGCUUUUUUAAUUUCUGAAGUAAUACCAUUUAAGCAUCUUUCAGAAAUCUCAAGCAUUCAUUGCGUUUUCUUCAGUUGGAUGAGAAAAUAAUAAUAAUAAUAAUAAUAAUAAUAAUAAGGGCGGCUCUCCUUUUCUGCCGCUUCAUUUUUUAAAAAUGGACACAGAAACGACAAGAUCCAAAGAGCAAAUUUGAAACUGAUAAUAUUUUUUAUAUUCUGCACAAUAGGAUAAGGACGAUUGAGGGACUAGCAUAUGCAAAAGAUCAAAGAUUCCCGGCGUAAUUAUCGAAGCAACAGCACAAUAAUUAAUUGGAGCGAUCACCUACUACCACUGCAGAGCAUCCCCCCUUAUUCUCUGCCUCCCUGCAGUAGGACGGUUGUAUUGAGAAGAAGCACAUAGCUGCUGUCGUAGGUAGCAGCACGCGCGAUGGCGGAGGGGAUUGCAUUCGAUCUGGUCAAAGGAGUGCUCGGCAAACUGGGCUCAACUCUCUGGGACGAAAUCGGACUGCUGCGGAGCUUCAAGAACGACGCGGACGAUCUCAGAAGCAACUUCUCGGCGAUCCAGGCGGUGCUUCUCGACGCCGAGGAGCGGAGCAGCGCUGGGAAGGAGAGCCACGCUCUGCGCGACUGGCUGCGCAAACUGAAGGACGCCGCCUACGACGCCGACGACCUGCUGGACGAGAUCCGGACGCAAGCGGCCCUCCGGCAACAGCAGUAUCCCGAGGUGCUGAAUCAACACCAGCCAGCUGGAAAGGUACGUGAAUUUCUGUCCCGGGCUAAUCCGAUGCAUCUGAAGUUUAAGCGCAAGAUGGCA
rnacentral:lncRNA from 1 species